AAUACAUUCCAUAUAGUAAAAUGGCCAAAUUCAUUAAAUCUGGUAAACUGUUGUCGUCCGUGGUAGAUUUGCCGGUAAGAAAGUGGUAAUCGUUUC
rnacentral:misc_RNA from 1 species